GACGAACGCUGGCGGCGUGCUUAACACAUGCAAGUCGAACGGAAAGGCCCUGCUUUUGUGGGGUGCUCGAGUGGCGAACGGGUGAGUAACACGUGAGUAACCUGCCCUUGACUUUGGGAUAACUUCAGGAAACUGGGGCUAAUACCGGAUAGGAGCUCCUGCUGCAUGGUGGGGGUUGGAAAGUUUCGGCGGUUGGGGAUGGACUCGCGGCUUAUCAGCUUGUUGGUGGGGUAGUGGCUUACCAAGGCUUUGACGGGUAGCCGGCCUGGGAGGGUGACCGGCCAAAUUGGGACGGGGAUACGGCCCAGACUCCUACGGGAGGCAGCGGUGGGGAAUAUUACACAAUGGGCGGAGGCCUGAUGCAGCAACGCCGCGUGCGGGAUGACGGCCUUCGGGUUGUAAACCACUUUCGCCUGUGACGAAGCGUGAGUGACGGUAAUGGGUAAAGAAGCACCGGCUAACUACGUG
rnacentral:rRNA from 1 species